rnacentral:rRNA from 1 species
UGUUAGCUCCGGAAGCACGCCUCAAGGGCACAACCUCCAAAUCGACAUCGUUUACAGCGUGGACUACAGGGUAUCUAAUCCUGUUGCUCCCCACGCUUUCGCACCUGAGCGUCAGUCUUCGUCCAGGAGGCCGCCUUCGCCACCGGUAUUCCUCCAGAUCUCUACGCAUUUCACCGCUACACCUGGAAUUCUACCUCCCUCUACGAGACUCAAGCCUGCCAGUUUCAAAUGCAGUUCCCAGGUUGAGCCCGGGGAUUUCACAUCUGACUUAACAGACCGCCUGCGUGCGCUUUACGCCCAGUAAUUCCGAUUAACGCUUGCACCCUCCGUAUUACCGCGGCUGCUGGCACGGAGUUAGCCGGUGCUUCUUCUGCGGGUAACGUCAAUUGCUGUGGUUAUUAACCACAACACCUUCCUCCCCGCUGAAAGUACUUUACAACCCGAAGGCCUUCUUCAUACACGCGGCAUGGCUGCAUCAGGCUUGCGCCCAUUGUGGCCAAAUAAUUUCCCCCC